UUUUAUUAUCACAUUUUAACACCGUAAAAAUUUAUCACAGUGUUCCAUUACUGUGAAAACAAACUCUUUCUUUUCUUGCUGACGGUGAACUCACCUCGGGGUGUUGACCCAGACGAUGCCAAUGUGGCAGAAGAAAAUACACUCCUUGUCUUUCUGGUUCUCGCAGGAACAGCGCUUCUCUCGCCGGUGGGCCGUGUGGGGGAGCUGCUCCACGGGGCCCUCCUCCGCUGUGGGGCUCGUAACAGAGAAGGAAGAGGCUGGAAAACACAAGUGGAGUGCCAGCCAGCCAGAUCUGUCAGCUCAGCAGCUCCCUGCCAGACACUCAUCACUACCGCAUCAUCAAGAACAACCUAAUGAGGAGGAGUAACGGCGCUACUGUCCUGCUCGGCCUUGUGGUCAUUGUGGUUUCAAACAGCAGACUCAAAGGUCGUCCGACGCCAAUUAACACAAUGUUUUUCUUCUCUUUGACCUGGUUCUAAAAUCUGUAAAGCUUUGUUGCAAUGAUAACUAUAUUUUGGAGUCACAAUAAAUGCUGCAACUUUA